CCGGGCAGGUUAAAACUCAAAUGAAUUGUACGGGGGCCCGCGACAAGCGGUGGAGCAUGUGGUUUAAUUCGAUGCAACGCGAAGAACCUUACCUAGGUCUUGACAUAUCUAGAAUCCUGCAGAGAUGCGGGAGUGCCUUCGGGAAUUAGAAUACAGGUGCUGCAUGGCUGUCGUCAGCUCGUGUCGUGAGAUGUUGGGUUAAGUCCCGCAACGAGCGCAACCCUUGUCCUUAGUUACCAGCGGGUUAAGCCGGGGAACUCUAAGGAUACUGCCAGUGACAAACUGGAGGAAGGCGGGGACGACGUCAAGUCAUCAUGGCCCUUACGACCAGGGCUACACACGUGCUACAAUGGUAGGUACAGAGGGGCAGCUACACAGCGAUGUGAUGCGAAUCUCAAAAAGCCUAUCGUAGUCCAGAUUGGAGUCUGCAACUCGACUCCAUGAAGUAGGAAUCGCUAGUAAUCGCGGAUCAGAAUGCCGCGGUGAACUACGUUCCCGGGCCUUGUACACACGUCGACGCGGCCG
rnacentral:rRNA from 1 species